GAUGAACGCUGGCGGCGUGCUUAACACAUGCAAGUCGAACGGUGAACGAGGGAGCUUGCUCCCUCCGGAUCAGUGGCGAACGGGUGAGUAACACGUGAGCAAUCUGCCCUGGACUCUGGGAUAAGCGUUGGAAACGACGUCUAAUACCGGAUACGAGGCGUGGGGGCAUCCCCAACGCCUGGAAAGAAUUUCGGUCCAGGAUGAGCUCGCGGCCUAUCAGGUAGUUGGUGAGGUAACGGCUCACCAAGCCUACGACGGGUAGCCGGCCUGAGAGGGGAACCGGCAACACUGGGACUGAGACACGGCCCAGACUCCUACGGGAGGCAGCAGUGGGGAAUAUUGCACAAUGGGCGCAAGCCUGAUGCAGCAACGCCGCGUGAGGGACGACGGCCUUCGGGUUGUAAACCUCUUUUAGCAGGGAAGAAGCGAAAGUGACGGUACCUGCAGAAAAAGCACCGGCUAACUACGUGCCAGCCGCCGCCGUAACAC
rnacentral:rRNA from 1 species